AUACGUAGGUGACAAGCGUUAUCCGGAUUUACUGGGCGUAAAGGGCGUGUAGGCGGUCUUGCAAGUCAGAAGUGAAAUUCCUGAGCUCAACUCGGGCGCUGCUUCUGAAACUGCAGGACUUGAGUGCUGGAGGGGAUAGCGGAAUUCCUAGUGGAGCGGUAAAAUGCGCAGAUAUUAGGAAGAACACCGGUGGCGAAGGCGGCUAUCUGGACAGUAACUGACGCUGAGGCGCGAACGCGGUGGGAGAAAACAGGAUUAGAUCCCCUGGUAGUCCACGCCGUAAACGAUGAAUACUAGGUGUAGGGGGUAUCGACUCCCUCUGUGCCGCAGUUAACACAAUAAGUAUUCCGCCUGGGGAGUACGGCCGCAAGGUUGAAACUCAAAUGAAUUGACGGGG
rnacentral:rRNA from 1 species